UGUUGCAUGUUGCGCCAGCCCUGCAAGCCAGAUACGAGACCUGCGGCUCUUUCUGUGUCCUCCAGAAUCACUAUCUGCUGAAUAAAUAUCAGAACACACAUACAAAAUUCAAACUAGCUACUUUUAUUUCCCAAAGUUGCUUUUUCAAAAGGCAACUGGACUUUCUUUGUUUUUCCUUGAAGACCUUUUACUUCUCAUCCAAGCAGCUUCUUCAAUUCUGAACUGACAUGGAUGGUUAUGAUUUGACCUUAAAUGGGAGAAAACUGCAUCUGAUGAAGAAAAUACACUGUGUACCUUUUGAUCUGGAUGGCAUGUUUUCUUCUGCCAGCUACAUUCCUGGCAUCAGGUGAACUCCAACCAAACACAUGACAUAGGUUUGCCAUUCCAGUCUUCUCAUAGCAUUGCCACAUGGAGGCUUCAAAUACUAUGCACCGAAAGCAGAAAAUGCAGGCUCUUCAAAGCAUCCAUGAAAGAGGAGCCCUUGUGUUUCAAGUCCAGGCCAAGUAUUUAUCCAGCUGGCACCGUUCAGCGCAGCGCAUACAUGCCAAAAUUGUGCUUGCGGUCGCCAUUGUGUAUAAAAAUACUGCCGCCUGCUCCUGUGCCUCUGUCUCCAAUAGAACCCUCUGUAAUUCUCUUUCCAAAUAAAAGGGCAACCUAUU